UCUGCCCAGCCCUGCACCUCUGAGGGAUCCUGGUGUGCCCGGCACAUCGGAUCUGUGUCUAAGGGCAAGAAGAAAGCUGCUUUUGCAUGAGUGUGUGUGUGUGUGUGUGCUUAUGUGUGUGUGUGUGUGUGUUUAGGAGAGAGAGAGAGAGUAAGAGAAGUGGCUUUCCCAUGAGCCUCCUAGUAUGCUUUUCCUUAGACCAGAGCUGGCGCAUAAACCCAAGUCCAGACCAAUCGCAAGUGAGGGGAGAAGCCCCGUCUGUGAUGAUACCGGGUGUCUCAUUGGAACGGAGCAGGAUAACCGCUCCUGGCACGCAGAUGCUUGCUGUGGCUUGCAGACAUUUUGUCUUCCAAAAAGCUCAUGAGCCGGAAGCUUGGUCUCCAAAGGAUGGUACUAAGGUGGCAGAAACCUGAAGGGGUGGACCUAGAGCAAGGCCGCCGGGAAUGCUGCCCUCAGAAGAGCUGGGGAAAGACUUGAACACAGAUCCCCCAGAGAUAAAAAAGAACCUUUGUCUCAACUCUUCUUCCAAAGCCCAGCUGUCCUAAUGAAGGUCUUCCUUGCACUCUGUGUUUGAGCCAACACUCCCUAGGCAUGGACGGCGCCUUGGACCACGCUCGCCCAGUGGUCAAAUCAGCUCUCGCCACCUAUUCCAAGCUGCACUUGCUAUUUCAGUCCAGUCGCUGAGCGCUUCCCUCGAAACCUCUUGAGCCUACAAGGAACAGGCAUGAGACCCAGGUUUGGACAACGAGCUGGAAAGGGCAGUCUGCUAAGGAAUCCUUGAGAUGCGUCUUCCUGAUGAAAGAGCACACGCUACAGAAGAAGCGCUCUAUCUUUCCUGUUUGGAACACUCCACGGUGCUGUGGUCCGCCCCACGCAGCCUGACCCGGGUCAGCUGGAGGCAAUGGCCUGAAAUGUAUCUGGAGUGCUUCUCUCCGGCUGAUGUCAGACGAUGAGAUUUCUGCUGUGUGACUUCCAGCGGAAGCUCCCAUCUUCUGUGCAUUUCAGGAACCGCAGUGAAAGGCACAUUCUGGGGUCAGCAUCUAUCUUCACUACAAAAGGGCCUCUCAAACCCCCGUGAAACUGAAUCUGUCGAGACACAGCUCGGACAGGGCUUGUGGGCAUCAAGCUGGGAGAUUCCUCUGUAUAGCUCUUCGAACCGUCCUUGUAACGACCUUGGACUUCUCUCACAGACUUGACACCGCGUGGGCCCAGCCCAGAAACCAGAGUGAACUGUGCACCAUCAUCUCCCAGCAGACUGAGGGAGUCCUUAAAGCUGCCUGGUGCAGAUCUGCCUCUCCACGCUUGGACGCCCGUGCCUUCUGCUCCGUCUCAUCUCUUUUUGUUCCUUUUGCAUAGCUGUCUCUCUACUCCUACUUCUCUGAAGUUUUUCCUAUUCCCCAGCCCUCAGAGUUUUCCUUUUCCAAGCUGUGCUGAUCAUUCCUGCCCAGCUGGAAGGAGCCACCGCACGGAUCAGUAGGAAGAGUCUGGUGAAAUCACUCUCACACCCCCUGCUCCUAGUCCAGCUCCAGGCAUCUCCAGGUAGAAUCAGAUCUAGCCAUCACCUAGUGGUCUUGUUAAUGUCAAUUUUGUCUGGGCUGGGGCCUGAGAUCCUGCGGGUGCUGCAGACCACGCUUAGCCAAGCAAAGCCCUGGAUCUGCACUGCCAUGUGAGGCAGCCACUUGUCACCAGUGACUGUGGAGCCCCUGCAAUGUGGCUGGUCUGAAUUGAGAUGCACUGACAAUGCUGAUUAGAUGCUGGAUUUCAGAGACUUAGCACAAAAGAGCAUCAGCUGUGGCAUGAAUCAUUUGCAUCAUUGAUUAAGUGUGGUAUGGGCGUAUUUUGGAUAUAUUGGGUUAAAUAAAAAUACCUGGCU